rnacentral:rRNA from 1 species
CCUACUGGAGGCAGCAGUGGGGAAUAUUGUGCAAUGGGCGCAAGCCUGACCCAGCAACGCCGCGUGAAGGAAGAAGGCUUUCGGGUUGUAAACUUCUUUUGUCAGGGACGAAGCAAGUGACGGUACCUGACGAAUAAGCCACGGCUAACUACGUCCCAGCAGCCGCGGUAAUAAGUAGGUGGCAAGCGUUAUCCGGAGUUACUGGGUGUAAAGGGCGUGUAGGCGGGACUCCAAGUAAGAUGUGAAACCACGGGCGCAACCUGUGGCCUGCAUUUGAAACCGUAGUUGUUGAGUACUGGAGAGGCAGACGGAAGUCCUAGUGUAGCGGUGAAAUGCGUAGAUAUUAGGAGGAACACCAGUGGCGAAGGCGGUCUGCUGGACAGCAACUGACGCUGAGGCGCGAAAGCGUGGGGAGCAAACAGGAUUAGAUACCCUAGUAGUC